AAACUUACCUGGCAGGGAUGAUGCUGUGAUCACAAAGGUGAUUUCCCUAAGACAAGGUUUUGCACUUUGGAUAGGCUGACCCCGGCAAUUUCUCCAAAUGUAUGAAACUUGACCGAAUAAUUUGUGGUAGGAGGGGACUGUGUUCAUGCUCUCCCCUG